AUUGAACGCUGGCGGCAUGCUUUACACAUGCAAGUCGAACGGUAACAGGCCUUCGGGUGCUGACGAGUGGCGAACGGGUGAGUAAUGCAUCGGAACGUGCCCAAUCGUGGGGGAUAACGUAGCGAAAGUUACGCUAAUACCGCAUAAGCCCUGAGGGGGAAAGUGGGGGACCGCAAGGCCUCACGCGAAUGGAGCGGCCGAUGUCAGAUUAGCUAGUUGGUGGGGUAAAGGCCCACCAAGGCGACGAUCUGUAGCGGGUCUGAGAGGAUGAUCCGCCACACUGGGACUGAGACACGGUCCAGACUCCUACGGGAGGCAGCAGUGGGGAAUUUUGGACAAUGGGCGCAAGCCUGAUCCAGCCAUGCCGCGUGAGUGAAGAAGGCCUU
rnacentral:rRNA from 1 species